GCUAGAAAUUGUUUUUGAGCAGCUGUAGUCAUUGUAUGGUCAAAAAGAUGGUCGAGAACAUUGGCUUACUGGUAGGAUAGUCUUAUGACUUUUUACUGACUUCUUUCAACAUAUACAGUCCAACCAAAUAUCAGUAUAGUGCCUUGUUUAGAGAGGUCAAGAGGGGUACAGUGAAUCACUUAUUACAGGGGUCCUCAAACUCCG